UUAGACUCAUCCUGUCCGAAUGAAAGUAACAGGACAGAAAUAAUCCCUCAAGUGAAUACGGUGUUCAGUAAAAUACUGUCAGUAUUCCAUGGAACUGCAAAUUUAUUAAGCAAACAAAAUGAACAGAGGUUUAAUAAUAUGCGUGGCAUGCUUUUCAAAAUCAGAAAUUUGCACAUGUAGUGUUGGAACUUACUAGCUGCUGUUUUCAACCAAAAACCACAAAAAUUCUCAACAUACUGCAAUUAUCAAGAAAAAUAGCUUGUUUAGAAGAAAAAGCUUUCCUUUGAAAUUUCCUUUCUUUUUGCUGGACAUGAACAAAAUGUAACACUAUUUUGCAAUAUUAAGUAAGUCAAAGCUGCUUUUAGUUACCGGAAAGUGGAAGACUACCUCAGAGGUUUAGAGUUACAAUAAAAGUAAUGAAUAAAUGAGCUGUAAAAUGAGACCAAACAGCAUAAAACAAGCAAAAAAUUAAUUUAAUGAGGAACUGUGAGUUCUGCCACCAAAUGCUAAUGCUUUGCCCAUAUGUUAAUUUUGGAUUCCACACGCUUCUGCUUUCCCACAAUCCUGUACCUGCAAGUGGGGUUUGUAAGGUGAAACAUCCUUACAGUCCUUAAUAACCAUUAUUAAUAGAGCUUUCUGCCAAAUGGCACAGCCCUACACACUCACCAAAGAAAACCACGACGUAACAGAAUGACUCUGCAGAGAGCCUUAACCCAAACUAACAAAUGCUGUGUAUUUAUUAACAUUUACUUCAUUUACAAAAACUUGAGCUGUGUCCGAAAUCACUCACUCGCUCACUAAUCCCUAUAUAGUGCAUGGCAGUUGAGCCCACAAUAUAAUAAAGAUUAGUAAAAUCUUUUUUUUAAUUUUUUAGUAAAAAAAAAAUAAAAAGGAAAAAAAUUACAAACAGCAUGAAAUAAUUGUUAAAGUAGGAAUAAGAAAGCUGCAAACUGCAUCUCUCGUUCAAACUAGCUUGCUCCCUCUGGCAGGUCAUGUUGGAUUAUGGGAAACCGUAAAAAAAGUCAGAAUUGUGAGACAAACUCGCAAUUGCAUGUUAUAAAGUCAGAAUUGUGAGUUAAAGUCGCAAUUUUGAGAGAAAAGCCAGUCUUUUUCCCCUCAGAAUAACUCACAGUUCUGAGAAAAGAAGUCAGCAUUGAGAGAUAUAAACUUGCAAUUGCAAGAAAAAAGUUGAAAUUAUCUUCUUUUUUUUAUUCCGUGGCGGAAACAAGCUUCCAUACAAAAGCACAUACCAAAAUUACUUAAAAAUUAAAAGAAAAUUAAUAUGAAAUCUAAAAACCUAAAAAUAAAAGGUAUUAAUGUUCACUAUGGAAAAGACCAGCAUGAACUUCCUGACUUUUUUGUGAGCAUCUCCUUUUGUGAUUGACGGAUGGAAGAAAAUCAAAUGGUUGUGGAACAUUUAUUUGUAUAGCGCUUUUCACAAUACGUUUCAAAGCAGCUUUACAGAGAAUGCAUGUCAACAUUACAAUUUGGAGAAUGCAGUUAGCUAAUAAUGUAAUAAUUUAGGCAAUUAAUUUACAAUCACUGUUAGCAAUUUAAUUGAAGGUAGAAGCAAAGAGCUCCUGGAAAAAUGAAUUACAUAUUAACAAUAAUUAGGAUAUAUAGAAAUUUAAGUAAAUGACGACAGGAUUGUCAUUUUCAGGAGACCUAUCCUUUUCAUCAAAAACUGCAAACAAUUCAGAGCAGGCCAAAAAACAAUCUGUUCUAAAAUUUAGGUGUUGUGAAAAUAGCUCCCAUGAACCUGAGGAAUCACCUUGCAAAACAUGAAAAUUGGUUUGGGAUAUCACAACAGUGCAAUGCGAUUUGAUCUUUGUUACUCCAUCAUUAAUAUUCAAAGCCUUAUUUCCGAACAUCCUUACACAAACCAAUUCAGGUCAUAUGCGAUUACCGCUGAAGUGCUGCCUUUGCGGAUGUGUGUAUUACAUUCAGCAUGAAUUAAUCAUAAAACUUGAUUUGGUACAUGUCUAGACAUCUCCCUGAAGAAUUAAAAAGAGAUCCAAUCCAGUCCGCAUGCAUCGUUUACAGAUUUAUGAGAGCGUUUAACGUUAAUUAAUAUAUAUGCGUGGGUGGGGAAAACAAAAAACAACAAAUACAUUGUUCCCAGUAAGAUUUUUUUUAAAGAAAUGAAUACUUUUAUUCAGCAAGGAUGUAUUAAAUUAAUCAAAAGUUAUAGUAAAGACAUAGUUAUUUACAUUAUUUCCAAAAAAUACUUAAAAUAAAUGCCGUCUAUUCAAAGAAUCGUCAAUUGCCAGCUUUCACUUUUCUUUCCAGAGAAUAUAAAUGCUGGAAAAGCAAAUAUCAGGCAAUUCAGCAUCAAUGAAUUCUGACCAGAGUCUAUUAACUGUCUCUGCUCUUUAGUCUAAAUAUGAAAGAUCAGGUGAGACACCGUAUAAUAGCAAAACAUACAUUCUGAGGUCAUUUCCUGGCCAUCAUUUUCACCAUGUUCAAAGCUCAAAGCAAUAUUGAUCUCUUGUCCAGUGUAAUAUAUUCAGAACAAUACAAUUAUAUGGCCACUAUAUGACAUUCAUCCUUUCAGUGAGGUCAGAACAAAUAUCUUCCAAAAGCAUAUUUAUGUUGAAGGAUGUAAGAGAAAUCCUUGAUCUGAUUGUACUAUAUAUAAAAACACUGUCCAUAGUAAUCAAUCUGUCCAUGUAAUGACCUUUAAAAGACCAUAACCCAAGGGGAUGUGCAGUACACGACGUCUGAUGAAAUGUGAAACGAAAUGCCAACUACAGAGACAUCUUAAACUUACACAUAUAACACAGUAAAAGUGUUCAGCCCCCUCUGAGUCAUUUUUGUUUGCACUAUUUAAUCAUAGUGGAUCUAAUUUGGCUUUUUGUUUAGCACUAAUCAACAGUACAAACUAAUAGAGAGUCUGAAUUAAUGCUGAGGAAAUCCUGGAGGAAAGGAGAGUCUCCAAGACACCUGCGACUUGGGAGAUAAUUUGUCUUCCAGCAAGCCAAAGUGUAAAGCCAAAGCUACUUAAAAACAACAAUGUUAAAUGUCCUGGAGUGGCCAAGUCAGAGUCCAGGUCUCAAUCCAGUUGAGAAUUUAUAGGUGGACUUGAGGAAAAGAAAAAAAACUCUGGAUCUCCAUGAAACCUGCUGAGCUUGAGCAGUUCUGCUCAAAAGAAUGAGGAGAAAUUGCAAUGUCCAGAUGUGCAAAGCUGAUAGAGACCUGUGCUGCAUCAGAAAUUGCAUACUAUAUUGUAGGUGCUACAUUUGAAACUUCAUGACCAUUAAAAAAGUAUGAAUGUGGGUAUGAAUGAAAUUGGGACUUACUACAUCCGCCAUGUUGUUACCGUCAUAUGACCUACGGUGUCAGCUGCAUCCAGGGCCUAAAAUUAACACUCGCCAUGUGCCAAAUGCAAGUAAAAAUUGCUGUUGGAGAGUAUAUAAAACGGUGUCAAUAGCCGGUUUUGUGAAUUCUAACAAUGCAAUUUUGUGAGAACAUGAACGAGCCAGUGCUGCAUUGUCACGAAAGUUUAAGUUUUGCCAAUUUAAAUAUUCAAGCGUGUUAGGUGUAGGAAGUUUUCUGUGUGCAAACAUCCAAAACACUUCCAGAAAAACCGCGUCUCAGACAACGCGUGAAUACUGAAUUAAGCUCUGUUUAAUAUCUUCUUGCGCUUGAACCAUAGACUGUAAAAAAGAUGGACGACGCACCUUCACUCUCUUCCAUUGUAGUAAGUAAAGCCGCCAGCGUGCCAAUAUGGCGCUGACAUCUUGAGUCUCGAGUCUGAGCAUAGUGAACUUGGAGCCCAAGUCUGCGCAAUAGUAAGCAUGAAGUGGAGCCUUGACAUCAAGGUCCCGCCCACACUCCCGCAAAAUCGGUUAAUACUGCAGAACAACUAUAUUACACCGCUCUGUGGAAUACUUGAUUCUGAUUGGUCAAUCGCGCCAUCCAGUGGUAUGUUAUUCCCUGAUAACAACAGCUGAAAACAGAUAACACAGGCUCAUCCAGGUUACAGAAGACAGCUAAAACGCUUGCUAGCAAUGUUUUUUCUUCGAAGUUUUCCGUUCGGUGAGCUAAUAAAAUAUUAAAACUCAGUCAAAUCAAUAUUUUGUGUACAGUUAUUUAAUUAUGUCAUCCAGUAUCGUGGACUCGCACUCUCAGGUGUGACAAAAAGUUAAGUUUUAGGCCCUGGCUGCGAAGCUUCACUUCCAUUCACAAAUCCUCUCCCGUGGUCUUAUGGGAUAUUAAAGUGUCCAUCAAAUGUGUACUUCAGAAUCUCGCUGGAAGUAGUAGGUCAUCUGGGUACUUUUCGCCUACAGUUUUAUGAAAAUUUGCUCAUAUACUCUUUUUCAUCUACUACAUACAAUAGUUUGGAGUAGGCAUAUUCUGACGCAGUGCUACAGUAUCCACACAGAAUAAACAUUGCAUCUGCUACAUACGAACUUGGUACUUACGAAAAUCAUGUGAUUAAUAUCUUUUUCCUCUUUGACAUGAAAGAAUAUUUUUUGUAUUGAUCAGGUGCCAAAAUAAAUCCUGUAUGAUUAAAUGAAAGAAAAUCUUCAGGGGAGCGAAUACUUUUACAGGCUCUGAAUAUUCUUAAAAUAGAAGCCCUUAUUAUCCAGCACUCAGCCUCAGUGUUAUCCAUGCCUGAAAAUAAUAUAAAAGCAGACAAAAUGUAACCCUCAAACAUCCAAGUCACAUCACACAUUUUCACCAAUAUACUGUAACUAGUUUUCAGCACAGCCAGUUCCCUGCGAGUAAAAAUGUAGUGAUUGUGUGAAAGUGCUCUCUGAUUUGGACCUUUUUUCCCUGCAGAGUUUUUCUGGCAGAGCAGUUUGAGUUCCUUCAGCCUCAUCUCGACACCAUGAUGCCUUUAGCCAAGAAGUUCUACUCACAGGCACGCAGGAGACUCUGAAGCCAGCUGGAAGAUCAAAGAUUCAGCUUUUUGGAAAUCAGACUAAAUGAUGUUUGGUGUAAGCCAAACACAUCAGAAACAUGCCAUUCCCACUGUAAUGGCAGCAUCACGCUGUGAGGAUGUUUCCCUGCGGCACGACCUGGACGACUUGUGAAGGUUGAGGUUAUGACCAAAAGUAUGAGCAAUUUAGUUUUUGCUGGAAACUCAAGAUAGAAAUUGUUUCUAUAUUAAAUAACCAUGUAGUAAUUUGUAUUUUUGAAUAAUAUACUGAAUUACUUACUUUACAAAUGAAAGGUCUAAUUUAAUUAUUUUCUCUUUUGUUUUGAAACCUGAUGGAUGCAGACCAAAAGAUAAGAUUAUUCAUAACAAAUGUUAAGUCUGGCAUAAAUGCAAAAACAGCUGCUUCACAUUGAACAGCCUAGAAACAAACAAUAAAAAUAACAGAAGACUUUAGAUUGAUUCAAACUGCCUACUUGGAAAUGCAAACCAUGUUUACGUGAUAAAAGUUGCACCCUUUAAUUUUCACAUCCCACUCUGCUACGUUAUCACUCUUGCGUGCAAAUAAUUUAAAGCUGCCCUGCCUGCUGAAAGUAGGUAUAUCUUAAAUACUGAGGUAUAAAAGAUACUGACACAUUAUACUGUUGCAGUGGUAUAUACCGUCAUACCAUCCACUCCUAGUGGAUAAACCUAAUGCAAAAUACAGGAAAGACCUGGAGGAAAUCCCACAGGAAAACCUGAUAGAUUCUGACACCUGCGACUUGGGAGAAGAUUUGUUUUUCAAUCAGACAAUGACCCCGAGCAUCCAGCCAAAGCUACACAGCCAAUGGCGUAAAAACACAAUAUUAAUAUUCUGAAGCAGCCAAGUUAGAGUCUGGAUCGCAAUCCAAAUGAGAAUUUAAGUAGACCUGAAAAAAGGCUUGUCACAAACUCAAUGUAGCCUGACUGAGCAACCUUAAAGGAUUGGAGAACAAAUUGUAUAGCAAGACAGUUGUUGUACUACUCCUCCCUUGUAAAUCACACUGGAUAAAUGUAAAUGCAGUCAUACAAUUAUGCAAGCUUUCAGGGAUUGAAAAAAUGCAUCAAACUAUUGCUGAACUGUAUCUGAGGUUAACACUAUCCAUUGAGAUCAACUAAUGAGGUUACGAUUAACACUCUGUUCCUGUUAGAAUAAACAUGACAGAAGAUAAUGGGAUUACUAGGCUUAAUACCAUGCAUACAUUGGAGAUUAAAGAUUAAUAAAUUGAAUUCUACUGCCAUAAGUUCUCUGAAGAUACAAACUGAUAUGACACGUGCUUAAAAGUACCAUUUCAGCCGUAAAAAUUCACAGCACAUCAGAGGUGUUGUGCUGAUAAUGACCCAGAGGACAAACAGCUGUGAGAAAGCUGAUAGAAAAAAAUGACUGUGUACAAUUGAAAGUCACUUCACGAUGAGUGCAGAACAGUCAUUGUUAGUUACAUUAGGAUUCUGCAGGAGAUCUCAUGGUCACACUGUCAAAAUAUGAUGUUACAAUUUUAAAAGGCUGUUUUCUAUUUGGAUAUAUUUUAAAAUGCAAUUUAUUCCUGUGAUCAAAGCUGAAUUUUCUGCAUCUUUACUCAUCAGUGUCAUAUGAUCCUUCAGAAAUCAUUCUAAUAUGCUGAUUUGCUGCUCAAUAAACAUUUCUAAUUAUGUUAAAAAUGUUUCCAACCAUGUUUAAAUCAGCUAUUUUAAUCAGGGUAAUGGACUGUUUCAUUGCGCCGCCUGUCAUAUCCGCUUUACCCCAAACACCAAGGCACUUUAAUAUAUUAUUUGUUUUAUCAGACAGUUGAGCAACUGUUUGGAUACAUUUACCGACAGAAAACUAAUAAUAAAAAAAAAAGCUACAUAGUGUACCUUUAACUGAUUUUGAAAGUCUGGGCCCAAUUAAAACAGCACUAGCUUUGGUAAUGCGCACAUCCUGGAAAAACAAAGCUUGAAAAAGGUGCAACCAUUUACACUUCAUGAUCAUCCUAUUAAACUGGCUUAUAUUAAAUUUCACAGCUCACAGUUUUUGUGGUUCCACAGAAUAUCUGCCUUUGGGAAGUUAACAUUAUAGCACACAAAGUUUUCUUACUUUCGGAAGAGCUAUGCAUGACUAACUGCAAGGAUCUGCAAAGGUACGUGGCUUAAAAUUAAGUCACUACAAAACAGGAAAUAAAUUUGGCAGAUGGGCCUGCAUACAAAUGCUCAUUAUCUGCAUAUGAAUAUAAUUUUGUAGACUUUGGUGGCUUAGCAUCCCAUUUAGAAUCCCUUCUGCUUUCAGUCAGAGCAUUAACUAUGAAAACAAAUAUUUAAUGCAAAUUAGAAUUAUGAAAGACACUAGGCUACAGAACAAACCACAAACACUACAGGUCAAAGCUGAAGCAUAAAAAUACAAUCGGUGAAAUAAAGUCUGCUUUUUAAAACAAAGAAAAGAAGCAACGGUAGAAGAAUGGUUAGUAUGUGCCAAAAGCGGCAAACUGUACAUUCCUGCAGUGUGUGCAUGUCAAAAGAUCAAAUCCAGUUUGAAACUUGUGACAUAUAAACAAACACAGUCACACAUCAACCUGAUCACUUUAUUUAGCGUUCAUGUAAACACUAUGUUCAGAUCCAUCAACCGGAAUGAUUUCGAUUUGUAGCUAUUCUCUAUAUUGUUGUUACACGUUUUCAACCAAAACGUAAUGUUUGCAGUCAGCAUCACCACCUGUGAUCCAAUACGAGCCCUGCUCAUCUCUGUGAAGGAAUCUAGGUUCAUUCUUCUUUACAAGACUGCUUUAACUUUGACAGAUUGGAAGAGCUCUUCAAGCAUGAACUGCUCUUUUCAGGUUCUGCCACAUCAUCUAGGGUUCAUGUCAUGACUGUGACUAGGGCACUCCUUAUUUUCAGGUGUUCAGAUGUGGAAUUCCUUCAGUGUUUUAGACUAUUGCUGCAUCACUCAAUUACACAUAAAUGGAUAUUCCACACAAAAAUUAAUAUUCUGUCAACAUUUAGUAACCCUAUAUGAUGUUAUUUUGGUCUUUAACUCUUUCCCCACCAGCAUUUUCUAAAAAAUGUUGCCAGAAUUUUUGAUCAUAUUCACAAAAAUGUCAUGGCCCCCAGAAUAUUGUGUUGUAUGAAUAUGUAAACAGUAAAAAUAUCAAAAGAAAGAACAAAAACAUGAAA